CCUACGGGGGGCAGCAGUGGGGAAUAUUGCACAAUGGGCGAAAGCCUGAUGCAGCAACGCCGCGUGAAGGAAGAAGGCCUUCGGGUCGUAAACUUCUGUCCUUGGGGAAGAAGAACUGACGGUACCCAAGGAGGAAGCCCCGGCUAACUACGUGCCAGCAGCCGCGGUAAUACGGAGGGGGCAAGCGUUAUCCGGAAUUAUUGGGUGUAAAGAGUAAGGUGGUGGGAAGCCAAGCCCGGGGUUUAAGGCAAUGGCUUCAACAAUAGUCGGCCUUGGGAACUGGAUUGCUUGAGUGCAGGAGAGGAAAGCGGAAUUCCUAGUGUAGCGGUGAAAUGCGUAGAUAUUAGGAGGAACACCAGUGGCGAAGGCGGCUUUCUGGACUGUAACUGACACUGAGGUACGAAAGCGUGGGGAGCAAACAGGAUUAGAUACCCGAGUAGUC
rnacentral:rRNA from 1 species